rnacentral:rRNA from 1 species
AUUCCCCCAGUAGCGGCGAGCGAACGGGGAGCAGCCCAGAGCCUGAAUCAGUGUGUGUGUUAGUGGAAGCGUCUGGAAAGGCGCGCGAUACAGGGUGACAGCCCCGUACACAAAAAUGCACAUACUGUGAGCUCGAUGAGUAGGGCGGGACACGUGGUAUCCUGUCUGAAUAUGGGGGGACCAUCCUCCAAGGCUAAAUACUCCUGACUGACCGAUAGUGAACCAGUACCGUGAGGGAAAGGCGAAAAGAACCCCGGCGAGGGGAGUGAAAAAGAACCUGAAACCGUGUACGUACAAGCAGUGGGAGCCUCUUUAUGGGGUGACUGCGUACCUUUUGUAUAAUGGGUCAGCGACUUAUAUUCUGUAGCAAGGUUAACCGAAUAGGGGAGCCGAAGGGAAACCGAGUCUUAACUGGGCGUUAAGUUGCAGGGUAUAGACCCGAAACCCGGUGAUCUAGCCAUGGGCAGGUUGAAGGUUGGGUAACACUAACUGGAGGACCGAACCGACUAAUGUUGAAAAAUUAGCGGAUGACUUGUGGCUGGGGGUGAAAGGCCAAUCAAACCGGGAGAUAGCUGGUUCUCCCCGAAAGCUAUUUAGGUAGCGCCUCGUGAAUUCAUCUCCGGGGGUAGAGCACUGUUUCGGCAAGGGGGUCAUCCCGACUUACCAACCCGAUGCAAACUGCGAAUACCGGAGAAUGUUAUCACGGGAGACACACGGCGGGUGCUAACGUCCGUCGUGAAGAGGGAAACAACCCAGACCGCCAGCUAAGGUCCCAAAGUCAUGGUUAAGUGGGAAACGAUGUGGGAAGGCCCAGACAGCCAGGAUGUUGGCUUAGAAGCAGCCAUCAUUUAAAGAAAGCGUAAUAGCUCACUGGUCGAGUCGGCCUGCGCGGAAGAUGUAACGGGGCUAAACCAUGCACCGAAGCUGCGGCAGCGACACUAUGUGUUGUUGGGUAGGGGAGCGUUCUGUAAGCCUGUGAAGGUGUGCUGUGAGGUAUGCUGGAGGUAUCAGAAGUGCGAAUGCUGACAUAAGUAACGAUAAAGCGGGUGAAAAGCCCGCUCGCCGGAAGACCAAGGGUUCCUGUCCAACGUUAAUCGGGGCAGGGUGAGUCGACCCCUAAGGCGAGGCCGAAAGGCGUAGUCGAUGGGAAACAGGUUAAUAUUCCUGUACUUGGUGUUACUGCGAAGGGGGGACGGAGAAGGCUAUGUUGGCCGGGCGACGGUUGUCCCGGUUUAAGCGUGUAGGCUGGUUUUCCAGGCAAAUCCGGAAAAUCAAGGCUGAGGCGUGAUGACGAGGCACUACGGUGCUGAAGCAACAAAUGCCCUGCUUCCAGGAAAAGCCUCUAAGCAUCAGGUAACAUCAAAUCGUACCCCAAACCGACACAGGUGGUCAGGUAGAGAAUACCAAGGCGCUUGAGAGAACUCGGGUGAAGGAACUAGGCAAAAUGGUGCCGUAACUUCGGGAGAAGGCACGCUGAUAUGUAGGUGAAGUCCCUUGCGGAUGGAGCUGAAAUCAGUCGAAGAUACCAGCUGGCUGCAACUGUUUAUUAAAAACACAGCACUGUGCAAACACGAAAGUGGACGUAUACGGUGUGACGCCUGCCCGGUGCCGGAAGGUUAAUUGAUGGGGUUAGCGGUAACGCGAAGCUCUUGAUCGAAGCCCCGGUAAACGGCGGCCGUAACUAUAACGGUCCUAAGGUAGCGAAAUUCCUUGUCGGGUAAGUUCCGACCUGCACGAAUGGCGUAAUGAUGGCCAGGCUGUCUCCACCCGAGACUCAGUGAAAUUGAACUC